rnacentral:rRNA from 1 species
UCCUACGGGAGGCAGCAGUGGGGAAUUUUGGACAAUGGGCGCAAGCCUGAUCCAGCAAUGCCGCGUGCAGGAUGAAGGCCUUCGGGUUGUAAACUGCUUUUGUACGGAACGAAAAGCCCUGGGUUAAUACCCUGGGGUCGUGACGGUACC